CAUUUUGUAAACCAUUUUCAAAUUACUUGUAUUUCAUAAAUUAAUGUAUUACUCAUUCACUAUGUCAACGUACUUUAAUUUUCCUUCUUUUUAUUAAUUAUGUUUUAUCACAAUGGAAUAUACAGUCUCAAUCAAUAAGAAUAUAGUUGUGUUUCUUCCUCUUUUUGCAUCAUAUUUAGUAUUGUUUUUUAAUUGCAUUUUUUUGUCCUUGAUCUUUAUCAACAAUUGGUAGGUUUAUUGAAACGUUUGUUUUUAUUUCGUUAAAGCAGCAAAAUGGAGUCAGAAGCGAUAUUCAUUUGAUCUUCUCAUCUACAAAUAUUACAAGUGCUGUUUGUUUCCUUUGCAUUUUUAUUUCUUUCAUUUUCUUUGUUAAAAAUUAGAAAUAACUAGUAGAUCCUACGUACAAAACGCCACUUUUUGUUGAUUUGUUUUUGUUUGUUGUUGUCUUCGCCUAAUAUGUAGAGUGUAAAAAUCUAGUAUAUAAUAAAACUCUGUAUACUGCACUAAAAGAAAGUUAUUUUUCCUUCCACGUGGUUCAAGAAUAGAGAUAUCGUACAAUUUGAACUUUGCUGAACGUAAAAAUGUCGUUUAUUAUUACUGUUGAUUUUUGUAGUCCCUAGAUUGUUAGCGUUAAUGCUUUUAUUUCGUUAUCUGCCCGAUGAUAUAUGAGUUUGUGUAUGUCAAUGAAUUCAAUGUGAUUACAUAUUUCCUAUUUCAGUUUGCUAAGAUUUUUUUUCAACAUCGGAAAGGCGGUGCUGUUUUAGCUACCGGAGAAAGAAACUACGAUACUACCCGAAUUGCAUUCAUGAUAACUCGCAUUGCAGCUCAUGAACAAUUUGUUUUGCGAUUGCCCCACUCUCAAUUGUUUGUAGGCAUAAUCAAAUGUUAUCAGUCGUCGUUCAUCAUCAUCUUCAUGUUUCGCAAUAAGUUUUUACAAAACUAUGUCACUUUUAUACUAACAAUCGGAGACAUGGCGAAUUUUGAAGAUUAUUAGGCGAGCGUGAUUUCAGCAGCGACAAGACCAUUUUAUGUGUCGCAUGUUUCUAACUAAAAAAAAACACAUAUGAUUUGUUUUGUCACAUCAGAAGAAAAAAGCCCGAAAAACAUUGUGAUGUUUAAUAGCGUGAAUCAGAAAGUUUAAAUACAUAUUUACGGCUUUUAUUGCAGUGUUAGUAUUUUUUUUUGAUUGCAAAUCAGACUUGUUUUAAAUGGCUUAACAUUCAUUCAUCCUUUUUAUAGAACACCUUCAGAUCUAUCUAACAAAAGUAAACGUAACGAGGUUGUAAAAUUUGGGGCUCUUCUCAAACUUCAAAUUUCAACUCAUUUGCUUGUGAGUUUGAUAUAUGUUGGUGGACUGAUUGGAACUCAAACUAAACCGAAAGUCCUGAGUGAAAUAGACAAAAAUUAGGAAGUGCAGCAGUAUACCUUAAAAACAUGCGGAUUAAGUGCAGGUAAAAUCUCAUAACAAAACAAAUUGAACGGAAGUGCCAGAAGAAAGUCCAAGCGAAAAAUGCAAAUCAAGUGCAACAUUUGCCGGGCAUACAUACAUAAAAAAUACUCUGAAGUAAAAUAGGGGCGAGACGAUAUUGGGGGUGUUUCAAAUUUAAAACGGAAAAAGAAUUAUAAAAUUUUGAACUUUCAUAGAAAAUUCUUCAAAAAAAACUGAAAAAAACUUCGAUUUAUCAUUUUUUUUUGUUAAUUUUUCAUUUCUCACUCUUUCAUCAUCGAAAGAUAAAUAGGAAAUCAAUAUUUAUUCCGGCCUAAUUGUUAGGAAAGUUGUUAUCAAAAGUUAUGCUUGAUUUACUGGAUAUCGAACAAGUUGACAUUGAGGAUGAUGAAGAAACGAUACUAACCGCUAGUGCACACGAUUCAACCACGCGCCUCAUGCUCUCUUAGGGCCGAAUAACAAGUUUUUUUUUGGGUUUCCUUCCAGCAUCAAUUGAGGUGUAACGAUGCGUUGAAUACGCGUAAUACCUAUCCAUUUAUUGCAUGGUACCUUCGACGACAUUUGAGUGGAUGCGUUAAAAAUGCUACGUGGACAGGAUCUUCUAGUACUUUUAACAUUUGUAGCUUUGCUCAAAAAUGAUUUUCGAUUCGCUUUAUGCUGAUUUGUUAAGUACAUAUUUUCUUUGAUCGCAUACGCUAGCUUCACUACACAAUAUACCUACACGUGUUUCCUCUAUGGGUACUGGAGAAAAACAACAAAUUGCAAUACUAUUAACUUUUGUUUGUUUAUUGUCGGAGAUUUUUAUCUCUCUCAUUUUAUAAAGUUUCUAACUCACAUUUUGCUUUUGACGGUUGCUUUACCUUUUGCCCUUUCUCAAUAGGUGUAAGUUUGGGUCUAUAACGCGGUGUGGCUAGUACUUUACUUCGUAGUUCGUACGUACAAUUUUUGCGAUAAAGAAGAUAACACACAUACAAUAUGCUUUCGUAAGGCAAUAAUGACUAUCAGGAAGGAUUUUCUUCUGUAUUCGUUUCGAUAUCUAAGAGUGUCUAAGAUUUGAAUUAGCUAAAAAAGUAAAAACAGCAAACAAAACAUUUGGUUGUGGGUACUCGACAAGAAAAUGAAAACACUGGACAAGAAAAUAAAUUAAGUAUAGAUUGCUUUUACACUGAUUGAGUGCAUUUUCUUAUCUUCUCUUUAGAAUGACUCGAUGUUUAAUAUUGUAGUAGUGAUUAAAAUGUAAAUGUCUCUUAUCGUAAAGCGAUUUUGUAAGCAGGUGGUAUGACGAUUAUUGUUCGAUGGUUUCAUAGGAAAUAAUUGUACACAAAAGGAAGAAGAGAUGUCCAACAAAUUUCCAACCUUUAUUCUAAUAUCGCGUUAUCAUAAAUUUACAUAAUUAACAGGUCAUCAAUAUUCAUUUUAAGCGUGAAAAUAGGCUUGCCUUCGGAUCAUUUUCAAUUCGAGUAUCGAAUAGGAAUUCUUCGUGGUAUUUGUUUUGUUUAGUAAGUUAUUUUCUCGUUCUUCGUCAAAACGUAUUUAAAGCUAAUAUUAUUAAAAAAAAAAACAAACAAAAAACUACGAACUAAGAACUAGAAUGUUAAGAUACACGUAUCUGAAACAAGGUAGUAAUAUAAGUAUUUAUAUAUCGACAAUCAUGAGUGUAUUUGUGACAUUUCUGUUUGCCCCGUCGUUCUCUAUUUUUUCCAGCAGCAUUGGUAAUGAUUAUAAUGAUUAACUAACUGUUAGCGGUUUGAUUGAGGAAACGAAACUAAAUAAAAAAUAUAAACACCUUAAACAAAAACCAUCACAGUAGGCAACAAAGUCGUUAGAAAAAAAAAUAAUCGAAAAAUUAAUCGUCAUACCUACGCUGUCUCCUAUUUCUAUUAUCAAUAUAUGCAUAGACUAAAUCUAGUAAUUACUAUAAACACUUAAAUAGAAAAAAAUAACGAAACAAAUUUAGGAAGAUAAGUUUUAAAAAGAUAAGGUAACUACACCGUCCUUAAGAAUGGAAACAAGGAAUCGUUAGGAACGUUGUUCUAUAAUGAGGAAGCAGAAUUCGAUUCCAAAAUAAAUGCAAAAUUCUGAUAGUUAAACGAUAAAUAAAUUCAACUGUAGAUAUAAAAGUUGAGUUAGAGAAAAAAUGUAUGACAUUUUCAAAAGAAAUAACUACUGGUUGGCGAAGUAGCGAUCAACUUUUACGCAUUACCUGUGGAAUUUUUUUUUCAAUAAAAUUUCGUACUUCACGUGAGAUGCCUUUAGCCAUACACAUUUCUGACGGUGCACACUUUUUGCGCAUGAAAGUCAGCGCCAUGUAAAUUGAAACCGAGCUUUCGAAUCAUUGGAAUGGGAUCGAUUUAUUUCAAUGUUUUGCCUACGGAACCAAGCCUUCGCUGAGCACACAUCUCCAUAUACCUAAACGUGCAAUAUUUUACUACGAGAUGCUAAGAGUUGCCGAUUGUUUUGCCAAAUACCUAUCUUGUUACGUUUCAAGUUUCCCAAGCUUGAUCGAGCACUGCCGUAAUCUGGAAAAGUGACGUAACAGCCAUUUUACAGCAUGCAUGUUUUCCAUUUUUCUGUUAAAGAGCUCGAUAAGUAGUACUCGUUAACACGGCAGAGCAGCCGUCAUCUUUACUGAAAUGUUUUUGCCUUUCUCGUUUUUUGUUUGGAUUCACUUUCAAAAGUUAGGAGUUGGAUUUAGGAUUAGGUGAUCAAAAUUUAACAAUAGAUGCCUAUAAUUUUUGGAUCAAAAUGAAAUAGUGAAAUCGUAGAAUCCAACCGUGAUAAGAUAAUCUUCCGAAGGCUUCUAAACUAUUUAUGAGCACACUGACUCCUUCAUAUACUCAAUCUUUAGCUAAUCUUCUUUGGGAUAUUGAUAUGUGAAUUAUGUAGAAAGUUCAAUUAACUCUAUAUUUGCAGUAAAAUAGUGGUGGUAGGCGCACAUUUGCCAAAUGCUUGCUGGAAUUCCUAAGUGCGUAGGACAAUUAUGCGCAUAACGACACACAACUAUUUUUUUAUAUGGAGCUACUCUUUAUCAAGUGAUAAUUUAUUUUAGCUUUAAACGCUAAUAGUCUACACAGGUUAUAAUUUCGGCUCUAUAAAAUUAAUGAUCAAGGACGUUUUCAAGGGCACCCCCUUCAAAACAGGAGCCACGCACAACUGUCAUUUUUAUUUUUCCACGCAUGCUACGACGCAGCAAAGCUGGAAUAUUAAAAAUGACAGUUGUGCAUGGCUCCCGUUUUGCAUUGGGUGCCCUUGAAAACGCGAGUGCAUUUAGUUUGGAUUCCGUGAUAAUUGUCCUUAAGCAGCAUACCACAUAACUAAAAAAAACAUUUUUUCAAACUUUGGGCCGAUUUCUUCACCUCCGCUUAGUGCUUAAACCAGGUUUAAUCGUAUGAGUAAGCACCGCUUAAGAGUUAAGCGGAGGUGAAGAAAUUGGCCUUUAGUAAUUAAGCCGGUUUUUGAUUCGAUGUUUUUUUUUUAUUAUAAAAUUUGGAUAAGAGUAUAUUUCGACGAAAUAAAAACUGUUACCUAGAUGAAAAACCACAAAACAACUUAUCAAUUUAAUUUUACAAGGUUAGCUAAAGUGAGCACCAAAGUGACCAAAACAGAUACACUUACCCUAUUUUGUUUUUUCAAUAUGGAUAUUUGUUGUUUCCAUACAAUGAAAUAAUAAAAUAUUAUUCAACAAUUCCUUGGUUGCUUAUUUAACGUGCAGCGUGUGACAGUUCAAAUUCAUUUUUCGGCUAAUAAGAAUGGAGGUGCUCAAACUGUUUUACUGUGUGCACUCUGACAUACUACGAAUUGUCUUCUUCCCCAGCGAACUACACGAUCCGAGAUUCCAAGUUCCAACUCUCAUUGACAGCGACGGCACAUAGAGAAUUUAUUCUAUUGUGUAGGUAAAUAGAAUUAUAAUUCGCAUUAUUUUUUGUUGUUUUCAUUCGAUUCACAACAGUUUGCUUUAUGUCGAGUGUGUCGCUUCGUGUUUUUGAUUAGUAAUUUUGAGCACAAUCUUACGCGUCUACUGGUUAGUUUGUUUCAUUUUUCAACAAUGAGUUAUGCCAAAAGAUGCAGCAGUUACAAUUAAUUUACUAUUCGUUAGACGGUGUGUUUACUCAAGUCAAUUAAAUAUUUUUUUUUUCGAUCUAACAAAACAAAUAACACGGGUUUAUUCAAUUGAAUCGAUCGGUUUUCACUACCUUCGGUUUUUGGUUGAAUUCGUCUCUUUAGCAUUCGUUGGUGUUCCGGUGAAGAUGAAACUCUCUCAGUUCCAGAUUUUUCGAAAAAGUUUUCAAUUUAUGGAAACAGAUACCUUUUAGUUGGUCUAUGUGUGUUUGUUACUGGUUUGAUUUUUUAUUUCUAGCCAGCUUUUAACUGGCAGACUAAAAUUAUGUGAAUUUAGCCCAUAGCACUCGAAUGAUUCAGAUUUAUUAAAGGCAAAAUAUAACCCAUAUUACGGAAAUCAAGAAUGGAAAUUGAUAAAAAAAAUCGUGCAUCCCACAAUCAAUCAAAUUGGAAGCUUCCUGCUUGGUUCGAUCCCUACUUUUGCUGCUCCGCUUGUUAUGAUAUAGUUUAUGUGUGUAUAGCCCAGCUUACUGCUGUUGUGAGUGGUGGUGAUACUACUCAGUGAGUAUUGUUUCUCUCUCGAUUUAACUAUCUUUAAUUUGCCGACUAAUACAUAUCAAAAGGUAAAACACAAUUUCAUCGUAAAAACUACUUGAUUUUGGCAUUUUGUCAUUUCACUGCUUGCUUCUCUUUUAGUUAUCCCCGUUUUUGUAUUUAUGUUUGAAACAUUGCUAUCUGCUCUUUUUUGUUAGAGUCCCUGAAAAUGGCAAGUAAGCUGAAAUCUCACAAUUCUGCUUCUCAAGCAGAACCUUCUCCUGUGGAUAAGUAUGUGCUGGCUUUCCCGAAUGAUAUUUGGUGGCGUGGGAACAGUUGACAAAGGAAAAAACUAACAAUUAUACUAGGUACAUCUAUAAUUUGUUUAGGUAGCCAAUGUGACUUGAUGAUGACGGUUGGUAUUCGACCAGAUCUCAAUUUAAAAUGUGCAUCGUUUUGCUUCAAAACUGCACAUAUUGUUGCGCCUAUUUUUUGGCUCUUCGUUCAAGGUGAUAAAAUUUUUCCUUUAUUCAUAUUUUCUGCUUUUGCCUACAUGACUAAAAAUCGCACAUUCAAAAAUGAUAUUUAUAAUAAAGCGCAAAAAGACACGGGAUGGAGACAUUGCGUUCUGUCUUUAUCUACUAAAGGCUGUGCCCUAUUUUUUAAC